CAACAGCUAGUCAGACACCUCGGUAGCUUUCUAGCAAACAUAGCUACAACAUUCACGCUCUUUACACUGGUUUGGUGUAUAUUAGUCGCUGUGUAUUAAACACACUUCUGUCGUAUGUACUUGUUGGCCCAUUCAAUUAUAUAUAUACGUUGUUUGUCAGCUAGCUGGUUUGCUAAGUUAGCUUAGAACUAGGCUAGUCGCUAAUGCUAGCUAGCUAACAUCCCCGACCAUGAGUUCACAAAGCUACUCUCCUCCUGAUAAAGAAGCGGUGGGCUUCUGGACGGAGAAAGAAACUCUGGUGAAAGAGGAGGAGGAAGAGGAAUAUGUUAAAAUACAAAAACAAGUAGAGGGUGAGGCUGUUACAGUGAAAGAAGAAGAGAAAGACGUUUCAGUGAAAGAAGAGGAAGAUGUGUUCAGAGUGAAAGAGGAGGAUAAUUACAGUAAAGAAAGAGGAGGGUGCAGUUUUUGAAGUGAAGGAGGAGGGGGAGAUGACUCUCACAUUGGAGGAAGAAGAGGAGGUUGGAGAUCUGUUUAACACCAGACAAAACAUGGACACAAUGCAACUGGGAUCAAGAAGAGGUAGAGAGGCGAGGCAGGGGGAGGACAUCAUCCUGCUAUUUUGACAGUCCCUGAAGGACAAUACAGAAUAGGACUGGAGACCACAGCAGCGAUUCUGCUCUUGCCCAACCUCUUCAAUGAGGACCCGAGUGGCCUUUAUGUCCGUGACAAGAUUUCACCGCUCUUCACUCCUUUAUUGCACAUCGGUGGAAAUCCAUUUCACCAUGAGAGUGAAAUCCCGCUGGCCUUUGAUGGGGAGAACAUCCACGCCCUCGAGGACGUCCCCAUGGGACUUGGGGCUCUGCUAGGGCUGGAUUUUUUAUUAUCCCUUAAAUUUCCC